rnacentral:rRNA from 1 species
GAUGAACGCUGACAGCAUGCUUAACACAUGCAAGUCAACUGGAAAGACGGUUUGGGUGGCGGACGGGUGAGUAACGCGUACAGAACUUGACUAACAGAUAGGGACAACAUUUGGAAACGAAUGCUAAUGCCAGACAUUAUGUAUUAAGGGCAAACAUGGUGUAUGACAGCUAUCUGCGCUGUGAGAGGGCUUUGCGUUCCAUUAGCUAGAUGGAGAGGUAACGGCUCACCAAGGCGAUGAUGGGUAGCCGGCCUGUGAGGGUGAUACGCCACAAGGGCCCGCGGGCACGGCCCUUACGCCUUCUGGCGGCAUCAGUGGGGACUUUUCGACGCUGGACCAAGUGUCUGAUCCAGCUCUUCUGUUCGCACGAUGAUGUUUUUCGGAAUGUAAAGUUCUUUCAGUUGCGAAGAACAAAAUGACGGUACCAACAGAAAAAGUGACGGCUAACUACGUG